UAUGAGGAUUAACUUCCUCUGCUGAACAGCUGCUGCUAACCUGAAGCUUGUCUCCAUAUUCUGCAGUGUGCUGCUUUGAGAUCGGUACAAGAAAGUGAGAGAGGUUUGGCAGACACAGUUUGCGGACAUCUUUGGCAGAAAUGAUCGUGAAUAAAAGACAGUGUUCAGCUUUCACUAUUUUAAUAGCCUUUGCCAUCCCUUCAUUGGAGAGCAGCAAACCACAUCUCUUUUCAGUGAACCUGGGAUUUUUCCUUCACAAAUAAAUUUUUCAUAGCAGAUCGUCAGAAGAGUACAUAGCCAAGGUACACAGCUCAUCAGCAGGUGAUCCUACAUCCUUGCGGGUUACUUGAGGUCUUCAAAACAUCUGUGGACAGUGCAAGAGGGAAAUCAUCAGUCCUUCAACAGGUGUUUAAAAUGGUCAAAAAAUAUCCCACUAAGGCACUUCUAUGGAAGCUGGGGCACUCAGGCACUGUUCCUGCUGCCACUCAACUUGUAGCUUAUACAAAACAGACUCUCUUCCACAGCAAGAGAUGGAGCUCAUUCCCCUUAGCCAAUGGUCAAGACAUCUUUUGGACAGUGUAAAGGUGACUGGUAGAGGUCCAGAUCCAUGAGUGGUAUGGUUAUCAAGUCGACGCCUGAAAAUUUCCUGUGGUUAUUUACCAACACAUGCAUCUCCACUGGAUCCAUAUGUGAAGAAAAGGCCGUGAUAUUACUCCAUUAAAAUAUGAUGAGGCCUCAUUUACUUCCCUUGUUGGUGCUUGUAUCCUAAAAUAAGAGCCAAGGUGAUUUUAACAGAUGAUUAUUGUAGAAAGAAGGAACAAGAGAAGGACCCCCCUGGAG